GACGAACGCUGGCGGCGUGCUUAACACAUGCAAGUCGAACGGAAAGGCCCUGCUUGCAGGGUACUCGAGUGGCGAACGGGUGAGUAACACGUGGGUGAUCUGCCCUGCACUUCGGGAUAAGCCUUGGAAACUGGGUCUAAUACCGGAUAGGAGCCAUUUUUAGUGUGAUGGUUGGAAAGUUUUUUCGGUGUAGGAUGAGCUCGCGGCCUAUCAGGUUGUUGGUGGGGUAAUGGCCUACCAAGGCGGCGACGGGUAGCCGGCCUGAGAGGGUGGACGGCCAAAUUGGGAAUGGGAUACGGCCCAGACUCCUAAGGGAGGCAGGAGUGGGGAAUAUUGCAAAAUGGGCGCAAGCCUGAUGCAGCGAAGCCGCGUGGGGGAUGACGGCCUUCGGGUUGGAAAAUCCUUUCGCUAGGGACGAAGCUUUUUGUGACGGUAACUAGAUAAGAAGCACCGGCUAACUACGUG
rnacentral:rRNA from 1 species